UACGAGGGGGGCGAGCGUUGUUCGGAAUUAUUGGGCGUAAAGGGUGCGUAGGCGGUUUGGUAAGUCUUAUGUGAAAUCUACAGGCUCAACUUGUAGUCUGCAUGAGAAACUGCCGGGCUUGAGUGUGGGAGAGGUGAGUGGAAUUCCUGGUGUAGCGGUGAAAUGCGUAGAUAUCAGGAGGAACACCGGUGGCGAAGGCGGCUUCCUGGACCGACACUGACGCUGAGGCGCGAAAGCUAGGGGAGCAAACGGG
rnacentral:rRNA from 1 species